AGAAGCGGCCGGGCUUCAAACCCGGUUGGGGACGGCAUCCGUUCCCGGGCAGGUUCGACUCUGGCUUUCUUCCGCCA
rnacentral:tRNA from 1 species